AGAAAUCUUAAAAUUCACAAGAAUGCAUUAUGUAACUUUGCUAUGCGCACUAUAACUCCAAAUUAACAAACCCAGUGAUUUCAAUUAAAAGCCCAAAGCAUAAACAGACUUCGGCUAUCAAUUAAUGAAGACCAUCGAGUAUAAACCUCUCCAAGUACAAAAAAAAUUAAUCAGUUAAAAACUUAACCCAUUUAACAAAAACCUAAAUUUCCACUCUUAACUCAAGAUGAAAACCACCGAGGAUGUGAAGACCACCAAAGAUGAAGAGAGGUGGGGUAAGAAGGGAGGCGGUAAGAGGAAGGGGAGAAAGGGCAAAUUAGGGGAAAUGGGGAAAAAGGGGAAAUGGCAAACUGAGAGAGAGAUAAAAAGAUUAAGAGAGAGGAAUCAUGAGACGAAGAUUAGAAAAUUUAGGGGAAAUGGGGAAAUGGUGAAGAGAGCACGGAGCAAUCGAGAGAGAGCCAGUGAGCAAAAGAGGUUGAUAGAGGGACAUCUGUUAUGUGUUUUUUAGUGGCCAUUGCCGAUGGAUUACCG
rnacentral:misc_RNA from 1 species